rnacentral:rRNA from 1 species
AGAGUUUGAUCAUGGCUCAGGACAAACGCUGGCGGCGUGCUUAAUACAUGCAAGUCGAACGGUCUACCUUCGGGUAGAUAGUGGCGGACGGGUGAGUAACACGUAGGUAACCUGCCCUAUUGUGGGGAAUAACAGCUCGAAAGAGUUGCUAAUACCGCAUAAGCUCUUUAUCGUGGGAUAGAGAGGAAACCUUGGAGCAAUCCUGGGGCGAUAGGAGGGGCCUGCGGCGGAUUAGCUAGAUGGUGGGGUAAAGGCCUACCAUGGCGACGAUCCGUAGCUGGUCUGAGAGGACGGCCAGCCACACUGGGACUGAGACACGGCCCAGACUCCUACGGGAGGCAGCAGUAAGGAAUAUUCCACAAUGGGCGAAAGCCUGAUGGAGCGACGCCGCGUGCGGGACGAAGCCUUUCGGGGUGUAAACCGCUUUUAGGAGGGAUGACACACCGGGUAACCGGUUACGACAGUACCUCCUGAAUAAGCAUCGGCUAACUACGUGCCAGCAGCCGCGGUAAUACGUAGGAUGCAAGCGUUGUCCGGAUUUACUGGGCGUAAAGCGCGCGCAGGCGGCAGGUUAAGUAAGGUGUGAAAUCUCCCUGCUCAACGGGGAGGGUGCACUUUAGACUGACCAGCUAGAGGGCGGUAGAGGGUGGUGGAAUUGCUGGUGUAGCGGAAAUGCGUAGAGAUCAGCAGGAACACCCGUGGCGAAGGCGGCACCUGGGCCGUACCUGACGCUGAGGCGCGAAGAGGGGAGCGAACGGGAUUAGAUACCCUAGUAGUCC